ensembl:snRNA LOC120103227 U6 spliceosomal RNA
AUGCUCCCUUUGGCAGCACACACACCAAAACUGGCAUGAUGGAGAUUAGCAUGGUCCCUGUGCAAGGAAGACACGGAAACCCAUGAACCACUCCAUGUUUUU